rnacentral:ncRNA from 1 species
AGAAGUCUAACCGCCUGUGGCGCUUAUUUCGUUGUCUCGCCUUCAAGCUCUGAACCACCAGGACCGCUAAGACCCGAAAGAUGGUGAACAAUGCGUGUGUAGGUUUAAGCUUAAGGAAGCUCUGUUUGAAGACCGCAGCGAUUCUGACGUGCAAAUCGAUCAUCAAAUCUGAGUAUAGGGGGCGAAAGACUAAUCGAACCCUCUAGUAGAUAGUUCCCUCCGACGGUUCCCUCAGGAUAGCUGUCACUCAUUCGCAUGAUCAGUUUUAUCGAGUAAAGCAAAUGCUUAUAAAUAAUGGGGUCGAAACGAGCUCAACCUAUUCUCAAACUUUGAAUUGAUAAGGUGCCCGGCUCGCUUUAUAGGAGUCGGGCGCUCAACGUGCAA